rnacentral:rRNA from 1 species
GACGAACGCUGGCGGCGUGCUUAACACAUGCAAGUCGAACGGAAAGGCCCUGCUUGCAGGGUACUCGAGUGGCGAACGGGUGAGUAACACGUGGGUGAUCUGCCCUGCACUUCGUGAUAAGCCUGGGAAACUGGGUCUAAUACCGGAUAGGAGCCAUUUUUAGUGUGAUGGUUGGAAAGUUUUUUCGGUGUAGGAUGAGCUCGCGGCCUAUCAGCUUGUUGGUGGGGUAAUGGCCUACCAAGGCGGCGACGGGUAGCCGGCCUGAGAGGGUGGACGGCCACAUUGGGACUGAGAUACGGCCCAGACUCCUACGGGAGGCAGAAGUGGGGAAUAUUGAACAAUGGGCGCAAGCCUGAUGCAGCGACGCCGCGGGGGGGAUGACGGCCUUCGGGUUGUAAACUCCUUUCGCUAGGGACGAAGCUUUUUGUGACGGUACCUAGAGAAGAAGCACCGGCUAACUACGUG